UACGGAGGGGGCUAGCGUUGUCCGGAUUUAUUGGGCGUAAAGAGCGUGUAGGCGGCCAUUCAGGUCAGCUGUGAAAACUCGAGGCUCAACCUCGAGACGUCGGUUGAAACCGUUUGGCUAGAGUCCGGGAAGAGGAGAGUGGAAUUCCCGGUGUAGCGGUGAAAUGCGCAGAUAUCGGGAAGAACACCCGUGGCGAAGGCGGCUCUCUGGGACGGUACUGACGCUGAGACGCGAAAGCGUGGGGAGCGAACAGG
rnacentral:rRNA from 1 species